CUCUCUUGGGUGACCUGCCUUAUCAGCAUUAGGAAGCUUUUCCUCUCACUCCUCUUUUCUAUUAAACUUUCCGCUCCUAAACCCACUCCUUGUGUGUGUCCGUGCUGUGAAUUCUUUUCGGCUAUGGUAAAGAACCAGGGUAUAUACCCUAGACAGUGGAGCUGUUUCAUUUUGGGAGCUCAUCCGGGAUCCAAAUCAGAAUGGAAGAUAGAAACAUCGGAGUGCAGUAAAAGUUACAAGUAUCAACCUCUGAAUAUAUCACACUCAAGUCAAAGCCUGAAAAGCUGAGGGAGCAACCUUUGACAGCCCAGAGGAACAUCCUGAAUAUCAAUGUGGAGAUAUAGAAGAUCUUAAGCUGAAAAUCAUAAAAGAAGCAAUCAAACUUCAAAUGGUGCUGCAAACAAAGCCACACAUGGACAUGCCAUUCUUCCAAGAAGCCUUAGAUCAACCUCAGGAGGAGCCCCAACUGCAGCCCCCCGACACGACGCCCCUUUUCAGCAGGAAGUAGCCAGAAAGAAUCGUCGUCCAACACCCCCUAACAGCAGUUAUGGUUACGUCUCCUGAGGGAGGAAAUAAUACAGGAGUUAUUAAGAAAUUAUUUUUAGGCAGCUAGAAAGGGUAAAAAUUCUCAGUGGAAUUUUCCUUUAAUAAAAAGCAGCCCCAAACCAUUUCUUCUCUAACAGGAAGCAGCCUGAAAACUCAGGCAUAGAUAUGCAAACUAGAAGCUUUUAUAUGUAAAUGCUGGCAGCUGUACCUGGAAGUCAGGUACAUCCAAUAUGGCGGUUCCCACUCUCUUUUCCUUGUCACCACGUUUACAGGUGUCAUGGCAGCCUCCAGGUAAAACCACAUGUACAGGUAUCCUGUCCACCACCAGUUGGAGACCGUAUUUGAAUAAUAAAAGACUAGGGUGGGAGAGUCAGUCUUUUCGUGGGCUAUGUAAAUGACACAACUGGUCAAACCAAUUCCCUGAGCGCUGUGUAAAUCAAUCACCGCCUCCUCAACCUCUGUACAAAACCGACUGCAUUCCACCACAAACCGCAGACCCUCUUUUGGGCAACCCACUUUCUCAGCAUGAGGAAGGAUUUUUUCUCUCUUUUCUUUUCUAUUAAACUUUCCACUCCCAA
rnacentral:lncRNA from 1 species